AACGAACGCUGGCGGCAUGCCUAACACAUGCAAGUCGAACGAAGCCUUCGGGCUUAGUGGCGCACGGGUGCGUAACGCGUGGGAAUCUGCCCUUUGGUUCAGAAUAACAGUUGGAAACGACUGCUAAUACCGGAUGAUGACGAAAGUCCAAAGAUUUAUCGCCAGAGGAUGAGCCCGCGUAGGAUUAGCUAGUUGGUGUGGUAAAGGCGCACCAAGGCGACGAUCCUUAGCUGGUCUGAGAGGAUGAUCAGCCACACUGGGACUGAGACACGGCCCAGACUCCUACGGGAGGCAGCAGUGGGGAAUAUUGGACAAUGGGCGAAAGCCUGAUCCAGCAAUGCCGCGUGAGUGAUGAAGGCCCUAGGGUUGUAAAGCUCUUUUACCCGGGAUGAUAAUGACAGUACCGGGAGAAUAAGCCCCGGCUAACUCCGUGCCAGCCGCCGCAGUAACAC
rnacentral:rRNA from 1 species